rnacentral:rRNA from 1 species
GCGUUGCUCGGAAUCACUGGGCGUAAAGCGCACGUAGGCGGCUUUCUAAGUCAGGGGUGAAAUCCUGGAGCUCAACUCCAGAACUGCCUUUGAUACUGGAAAGCUUGAGUUCGGGAGAGGUGAGUGGAACUGCGAGUGUAGAGGUGAAAUUCGUAGAUAUUCGCAAGAACACCAGUGGCGAAGGCGGCUCACUGGCCCGAUACUGACGCUGAGGUGCGAAAGCGUG